rnacentral:rRNA from 1 species
AUUGAACGCUGGCGGCAGGCCUAACACAUGCAAGUCGAACGGUAACAGGAAGAAGCUUGCUUCUUUGCUGACGAGUGGCGGACGGGUGAGUAAUGUCUGGGAAACUGCCUGAUGGAGGGGGAUAACUACUGGAAACGGUAGCUAAUACCGCAUAACGUCGCAAGACCAAAGAGGGGGACCUUCGGGCCUCUUGCCAUCGGAUGUGCCCAGAUGGGAUUAGCUUGUUGGUGGGGUAACGGCCCACCAAGGCGACGAUCCCUAGCUGGUCUGAGAGGAUGACCAGCCACACUGGAACUGAGACACGGUCCAGACUCCUACGGGAGGCAGCAGUGGGGAAUAUUGCACAAUGGGCGCAAGCCUGAUGCAGCCAUGCCGCGUGUAUGAAGAAGGCCUUCGGGUUGUAAAGUACUUUCAGCGGGGAGGAAGGGAGUAAAGUUAAUACCUUUGCUCAUUGACGUUACCCGCAGAAGAAGCACCGGCUAACUCCGUG